rnacentral:ncRNA from 2 species
UUCUUAUCAAGAGAGGGGGAGGGACUGGCCCAAUGAACUCUCAGCAACCUGACAGAUGUCAAGGUGCUAAAUCCAGACAGGCGAAGCGCCUGGAAGAUAAGAA